rnacentral:lncRNA from 1 species
GACAGAUGUGUUUCCUUCCCCAGAUGCUGAGGAGCUUCAAUUGUUCUGCAUAUGUAACGACUUUUUAUGGCUCCUUGCAAAUGCCUCUUCUGACUUUUAAAAAGGUGCCAAAGUCAAAUAUAGGUAGUUACUGUGAACGUUUUAGCAACAUCACCGGAAGCUCCAGCUGGCUAGAAAUCCUCUAUCAGAGGAUAAAUAGUAAGCAUACAUCCCUUUCCCAUUUCACAGAUUUACUCAGAAGAGCUUCUCUUGUAUCAUCUCGUUUGCUGAUGAGGAACACAAGAACGUAUUACAGACUACAGGAAACAGCAUGGUGGAUCCUCAAAAAAUUAAAAAUAGAUGACUACUACUGAACUGUACACUUAGAAAUUGGUCCCUCUUGGAAACCAGACUGUUGUAUCUCGAGAUUGCCUUUCCCCUGAGUAAAAGGAAAUCACAGGUGAGGGUUCUUCUGCAAGAAGAACAGUUUCAAAGCCUCUGAUUCUUGCCUGCUGGAAUAGCACGUGGUAGGACUGGCGCUGGGAGCAGGUCUAGACCAGUCCCAGCGGGCAGGAGACAGCACUCACUCAUCUGCAGGAUCCCAGCUCGUUCAACAAAAAAGCGAGAGUGGCAGAUGGAGGACAUGUUUUCAUCUUGUUGCAUCUUUAAACAGAUGGACCCUUUUUGAAAGACAUAAGCCCUGUUAUCAUUAAGAAUUAGAUCGUAGGAAAAAUAAAACUUAAAAAAUUCCAUACUUGACCAAUAAAGGGACUAACGCAGUAAUUCACACAGGGUUAAAAAGGACAUUUUUAGUCAUUUGAGAAAGCAUUACAAAAUGUGUAAAUCAAACUUACGUAUCCU